rnacentral:lncRNA from 12 species
UAACUAUUUAUUUGGCAACUAGUUAUGCACUAGGAACCAUGCUAAUUUCUGUAGAUAAAAUGGUGAAAAGGAUACAUAGAUAUUGCCUCAUGUUUUUUUUUUUCUUACCAGCAACUACUUCUGUGACAAAUUAAGUGUAAUUGUAAUUAAUGCAAUGAUCGACAUGUACAAGAUGCUAUGAACACUAAUAACCUUUCUGAGGCUGGGAAGUUCUUGAAGAAAUGAUUUGUAAGCUGAGAUCUGAAGAUGAAUAGAAGUUUACAAGAUGAAACAAAUAUUGAUUAAACAAUGAGAAAGUACAGAAAUAGACUUCGUAAAGAACUCAAGAUAAAUCAGACUCAAAUUGUGCACCCAAGGAAUUUUAAAUAUAAAAGCUCUUUCUACAGAAUGAAACAUGAUGUGGACACCGGCAAUUCCAACACUCUUCCUUGAACACACAGGAAUUAUCCAGCACACAGAUUGAAACCACCAAUCCCUUCUGUCAGAGCACAGCUAUGAAGAAAAGGCCCCCCUUUUCUUACCUACAGUCCUGUAUUUUUGACAACAUUAUCCGAUGUAGAAGACCUGUUACUGUCUUGUGUACACUGGAGAGAAAAAAAAGAUAUGAAAACUAUGUAGUGAAAAGGAAUCCUCCCAUAAGAAGAAAAGUGUCAUUUGUAUUUUUUCCUGGUUCUCUGAGGAUGUCAGCCUUGGAGCGACACAUAAUGAAAGCUUGACAGAAAGGGAAAUGCAUAUCCUGUCUACUUAAUGAAACCCCCAACCCAAACCAAAGAAACAGAAAAUUUUAUAUGCGCUCUUAAAUAAAAUAGGUGUUAGUGGAUUGCUUUACCA